rnacentral:lncRNA from 1 species
ACUCCAGCCUCCUUGCAAGCUUGGGGCGCCUCAUUCUCUCCCGUGCCCCUUCUCCCAGCUGGGUCUGAGCCCCCGCCCCCCUGGCUCCUCCGUUCUGCUUCUCCCAGCUUCUCUGUCCAUCUCCCCCAAUGGCCUCUCUCUACACUCUCUGCCUCAGCUUCCAGGUCUCUGCUGGUCCCUAGGAAGCACUUUGACCUCUGCUUCCCCUUCAAAUGCUGUGGAUCAAGCCUCCCCAACCCCACCAUCCCACCAAAGGGGGCUGCUGACCGAGAGAGCUCACUCAGCCAGAGCCAGAUUCUUACUCUGUCACCCAGGCUGGCAUGAUCAUAGCUCACUUCAGCCUAGAACUCCUGGCUUCAAGCAAUCCUCCCACCUCAGCAUCCCAAGUAGCUGGAACUACAGGUACGCACCAUCAUGCCCAGCUUCAUUUAUAUAUUUAUCUUUUUUGUUUGUUUUUUGAGACAGGGUCUCCUUCUGUCGCCCGAGCUGGAGUGCAGUGGCACAAUCUUGGCAAACUGCAACCUAUGCUUCUGGGGCUCCCGUGAUCCUCCCACCUCAGCCUCUCCAAUAGCUGGGACUACAAGCGUGUGCCACCAUGCCUCGCUAAUUUUUGUAUUUUUUAGUAGAGACAAGAGUUUGCCACAUUGCCCAGGCUGGUCUCAAACUCCUGAGCCCAAGCCAUCUGCCCACCUCGUCCUCCCAAGGUGCUGGGAUUACAGGGGUGAGCCACUGCACCCUGCCUAUUUAUUUACUUUUCUUAGAGAUGGGGGUCUUGCUUUGUUGCCCAGGCUGGUCUCGAACUCCUGGGCUCAAGCAAUCCUCUCACCUCAGCCUCCCAAAGUGUUGGGAUUACAGGCAUGAGCCAUCUCACCUGGCCAGUAAUGUAUUUCACUCCAAGAACAACUCAUGAAUUAGGAACUGUUAUAAUCCCCCUUCUGCAGGGGAGGAAAGAGAGGCUCAGAGAGGUUAAAUGACUGCUCAGAGUCCCUCAGAGCUGGGCUUUAAGUCCACCUGAGGCAGGCGGACGGGCUGUGCAGGACAAGUUGGCAGCCCCCGCCUUAAGGAGAGUGGUACCCUCUUUCCUCCAGUGCAUUUAUGUUUUAUUUUUAUUUUUGAGACAGAGCCUCACUUUGUCACCCAGGCUGGAGUACAGUGGUGCGAUCUCAGCUCACUGUAACCUCUGCCUCCUGGGUUCGAGCAAUCCUCCUACCUUAGCCUCCUGAGUAGCUGGGACUACAGGCACACACCACCAUGCCUGGCUAAUUUUUGUAUUUUUGGUAGAGACAGGGUUUCACCAUGUUUGCCAGGCUGGUCUCAAACUCCUGGCCUCAAAAGAUCCACCCACCUCGGCCUCCCAAACUGUUGGGAUUAUAGGCGUGAGCCACCGUGCCCGGCCAAGUGCAUUUUUUUGUAAACCCCCGUGCAAGUUGCUUUGAGGUUGAGCAGCUUACUGCUGGGGACAGCAUUCUCAAGUCCAGGCUAAACAGGGAAGAUGCUGUGUGCUGUCCCUUUGUGGCUUUGAGGUUCUCCUGCUUAUUCUCUUUGCUGCCUGCAGCUGCCUCUUGGUGACUUUCCCUUUCCAGGGAGCCAGAGGAACCAAGGAGUGUUGGCCCUGACUCCUGCCCCCAGCAUGUAAACUCAUUAACUGCUGGGUCCUCAGGCAGUUAGGUGGCUGAGCAUUUGAGUCUGGGACGGCAGGUGGAUUUGGUUGGAGAGGGAAUGACAGAGAUUGGGGAGGAGCCUCCAGAGUCUAAAGAGAUAGGUACACAAGCAGAAAGUUCCAGCCCCCAGCCUGCCUUUCCCCCAUGCUCAGGGGACAAAGCUGAAUUAACUCGAGGUCAGGAAUGGCAUUUGCAUUUGCAUUCUUGAGAGUCACUGCAAAUAAGAGCUGUAGUCAUGGUGAGUGGUUAAGGCAAUGGACUAGAGAACCACUGAGAAAAAAAGCGAACAGUGGCUGGGCGCAGUGGCUCAUGCCUGUCAUCCCAGCACUUUGGGAGACCGAAGUGGGUGGAUCACUUGAGGUCAGGAGUUCGAGACCAGCCUGGCCAACAUGGUGAAAACCCGUCUCUACUAAAAAUACAAAAAUUAGCCAGGCUUGUCAGUGGGCACCUAUAAUCCCAGCUAGUCGGAAGGCUGAGGCAGGAGAAUCACUUGAACCCAGAAGGCAGAGGUUGCAGUGAGCUGAGAUCAUGACACUGCACUCCAGCCUGGGUGACAGAGAGAAACUCCGUCUCAAAAAAAAAAGAAAAAGAAAAAAAAAAAAAGGAACAGCCGGACAUGGUAGCUCAUACCUGUAAUCCCAGCGCUUUGGGAGACCGAGGCAGGUGGAUCACCUGAGGUCAGGAGUUCCAGAUCAGCCUGGCCAACAUGGUAAAACCCCAUCUCUACUAAAAAUACAAAAAUUAGCUGGAUGUGGUGGCGCACACCUGUAGUCCCAGAUACUCAGGAGGCUGAGGCAGGAGAAUAGCUUGAACCCGGGAGGCGGAGGUUGCAGUGAGCAGAGAUCACGCCACUGCACUCCAGCCUGGGCGAUAGAGUAACAAUCCGUCUCAAAAAAAUCUGAAAAUUAAAAAUUAAAAAGUGAACAGUUGUUUAGUAAGUGCAGUAGGUAGGCCAAGAUAACUAUUAAGUAUGUCCUAACAAGGUAGCUGCUUGAAAAAAAUAAUGCACAUAAAUUAAAAAAAAAAAAACUAUUUUCACUCAUUCUUAACUUCUCGUAUGGAUGUACUAACGGGAGGCCUGUGCCUGUUGGGCUGUCCACAGCUACUCAAACCUUGAGAUUAGAUUGGACGCUAUCUAAUCUCAUUUCCUGUUACACAAUAACUUCUGCAUGGCACUUGCUUUUAAUCAUGACAACUGCCAUACACUCAGCUUUACAAAAUCAUGUCAUUGUGGAAAGGAAGUUCCCUCCAUCUAACAUUCAAAUUUAACUAUCCUGAGCUGGUAGUUUGCAAGGUGUCCAACAGAUGUCACUGUGUUUCCUUCGCAAAUUCUCUAAAAUAGUCUGCUGUGUCCCGGGGCAUAGUAGAUAUUCAAGAAAUGGUGGCUAUGAGUUUUAUCACAAUUCUCUCCUACUGGGUGAGCAGCUGUUUGCAAGACUAAAAUUCGGGCGAGGCACAGGCUUCCCCUUGGUCUUAGCAGCUAGCACAAGACGAGUGUCCCUUCAGCCAGUCUCAGAGCUCUUUGGCAAUUCAACUGACCCUUGUCCUUCAGUCCAGACAAUGCCCCAGGGCCCACCUGCAUUCAAACUCGGACUGUUCUCCUUCCCACCCCUAUUAUCUUUUCAACUUUAUGGACAGUACAUGCAAUUUUCUCAUUCAUUUUCUCAUUUAACAUCUAACAGCUUCAUGAUAUCCCCAUUUUACAGAUAAGGAAACCAAGGCUUUAAGAGGAUAGGGACCCUAAUCGGCUAAGGCAGAAUUAGGAUUUGAACCCAGAUCCCCAUGACGCCAGAAUCUAAGCCUUGACCAAAUAUGUGUUACUAUUACUUUUGUUGUUGUUGUUGUUCUGGGUAACUCCAACCCUCUGCUCGUUGGCCUUGUCACCUCAGUGCUGAUUUUGCAGAUGAAGAGACUAAGGUUCCGAGGUGCUAGAGCACAGUGGUUAGGAACACACACUCUAGAGCCAGAGUGCCUGGGUUUGAGCCUCGUUCUGCCGUUUACUAGCCGUAUGGCCUUGGGCAACUUGCUUAACUUCUCUUUGCCUCAGUUCCUCUUCUCUUGGGUUGUUAGGAGAAUGAAUGAGGUGAUAUCCACAGUGUCCAACACCCUGCAAGCGGCCAGGUGUGGUGGAUCACACCUGCAAUCCCAGCACUUUGGGAGGCCGAGGCAGGUGGAUCAUUUGAGGUCAGGAGUUCGAGACCAGUCUGGCCAACAUGGCGAAACCUCAUUUCUACUAAAAAUACAAAAAUUAGCCGGGCGUGGUGGCAAACAACUGUAAUCCGAGCUACUAGGGAGGCUGAGGCAGAAGAAUCGCUUGAACCCAGGAGACAGAGGUUGCAGUGAGCCAAGAUUGCACCACUGCACUCCAGCCUGGGCGACAGAGUGAGACCCUGCCUCAAAAACUAAAAAUAAAAAAUGAACAGUGUCCAACACCUUGAAAGCAUUCCGCAUGACUGAACGAUCACUGUUACGUGAUUACCAACAUGACGACCCCACUUCUCUUGGCCAAACUGAGUUCUCUUCUCUUGUAAAAACUUCUGCAUAUGAAGUCACCCAUUCCAUUUGACUCUUUAGCCCUCAUCCUGGCAUUCAAGGGCAUGGACGACUCAACCCCACUCUCUAGCCAGCCUGACCUCUCCAUUCCCUUCUCUGGCGUAGAGGCCACUCCCACCACCUGCCCUUACCCCCUGCCCACUUUUGUCAGCCUGUACUGUGUUGAAGCUCCCAGGAGAGACAACUGCAGUCAUCACUUUCCACUGUGUUCAGUGAUGUCAGUUCGGCCCAGCUGGAGGUACUCACAUCAUGGAAACAGACCAUCAGAUUUGGUGUGUGUGUGUUUUAUUUUGCUUUUUCAGAGAGCCAGCUGUUAAACACUAGCCAACACCCCAUUGAUGCUGUUCCUUCUACCUGAAACACCUCGCAUUGCCGGUGAGCUCUAAAGACAAAAGGACCUGGGUCUGCAUUUCCCAAAGGCAAGACUCUGGUAUCACCUGCAUAUUAUUUUCCCAUAUUUGAGCACCACUGCCUUUUGCAUUAUUUACUUAGCAGUUUUGCUCCUGUCAACUCACUUUUUUAAAACUAAACUUAUUUUAAAAAGAAAAGUUUUGGCCGGGAGCGGUGGCUCAUGCCUGUAAUCCCAGCACUUUGGGAGGCCGAGGUGGGCAGAUCACCUGAGGUCGGGAGUUCGAGACCAGCCUGACCAACAUGGAGAAACUCCGUCUCUACUAAAAAUACAAAAUUAGCUGGGCGUGGUGGCGCAUGCCUGUAAUCCUAGCUACUCGGGAGGCUGUGGCAGGAGAAUUGCUUGAACCCAGGAGGCGGGGGUUGCAGUGAGUCGAGAUCGCCCCAUUGUACUCCAGCCUGGGGAACAAGAACGAAACUCCGUCUCAAAAAAAAAAAAAAAAAAGAAAAAGAAAAGAAAAGCUUUAUAUAAUUUUAAUACUCAAAAAAACAGUAUCCCGGCCAGGCACAGUGGCUCACACCUGUAAUCCCAGCAAUUUGGGAGGCCAGGCAGGAGGAUCACUUGAGGCUAGGGGUUCAAGACCACUUGAGGCUAGGGCCAACAUGGUGAGACCCCGUCUCUACUAAAAAUACAAAAAUUAGCCAGGCAUAGUGGCACGUGCCUGUAAUCCCAACUACUCGGGUGGCUGAGGAACAAAAAUCACCUGAAUCCAGGAGGCGGAGGUUGCUGCGAGCCGAGAUCGUGCCACUGCACUUCAGCCUGGGUGACGGAGUGAGACUCUGUCUCAAAAAAAGAAAAAGAAAAAGAGUAUCCCUUGCCAUAAAUAGCAAGCAGUCAUUCAGACAUGGAAAUGAGGCAUUCACACUUGUUCUUGUUUCACACUAAGGCCCUAAGCCUAAGGAGGGUUUCUCUAUGUUGAAAGGAAAUUAGGCAGUGUUCAGAGGGGUGUUAAAGAUAGACUAGCAACUAAUUGAAACUUUCUCCUCAAUGUAAGCACUUUAGAAGGGACUGAAAAGAGAAUGUUCUCCCUACAUGUACCAUAUCACCUACAAUUACCUCGUGUACCACUAUUUUGCAAAUAAAUGCCAGAGGCAAGAGUACAUUUUGAUGCUUUAGCCUAGCACUCAAAGCCCUCCUCGAUUUGAAUCUUUCCAGCCUCAUCUUGCACAGCCCCUCCAUACCCAGACCUCACCCACUCUAUUUGCCAUCUCCAGAACAUACCCCUAACUUUCUCACCUCUGUGCCUUUGUGCAAGCUGCUCCCUCUACCUGGAAACCUCCAUUUGUCAAGCUGCUGCUGUCUUCAAGAUCUACCUGGUCAGAAUCUCCUGCUGUCCUCUUCUGCCACCCACAGCAAUGUGAGCCUUCACUGGCUGGCCUUCCCUACUCACUGGAGCAGAGCUACGGCAUCAGAAUGCCCUGGAGCAGGGGUUAGAAACACAGAUUUCUGAGUCUACACUCGAAGAUUUUUUUUUCUUUCUUUCUUUUUUUUUGUUUUCCAAUUUUUCUAAUUUUAGAGAUGGGGUCUCACCACGUUGCCCAGGCUGGUCUCAAGCUCCUGGACUCAGGUCAUCCUACCACCUAGGCCUUCUAAAGUGUUAGGAUGAGCCCUGAACCUUGUAACAUGAACAUUUAUUAGUUAUAUCUGGAAAAAAAUAUAAAGUUAUUUUUAUUUGGGUGAUACUGCCUUCAAAAAACAAAAACAAAAAAAAACAGGAGGCCGAGCACAGUGGCUCAUGCCUGUAAUCCCAGUGCUUUGGGAGGCUGAGGCAGGCGGAUCACUUGAGACCAGGAGUUCAAGACCAGCCUGGCCAACAUAGUGAAACCCCGCUUCUAUUAAAAAUACAAAAAUGGGCCAGGCACGGUGGCUCAUACCUGUAAUCCCAGCACUUUGGGAGGCCGAGGCGAGUGAAUCACGAGGUCAAGAGAUCAAGACCAUCCUGGUAAACAUGGAGAAACCCUGUCUCUACUAAAAAUACAAAAAUUAGCUGGGCACGGUGUCACGUGCCUGUAGUCCCAGCUACUAGAGAAGCUGAGUCAGCGGAAUCGCUUGAACCCAGGAGGUAGAGGUUGCAGUGAGCUGAGAUUGCACCACUGCACUCCAGCCUGGGCGACAGAGUGAGACUCUGUCUCAAAAAAAAAAAAAAAAAAAUUAGCCAAGUGUGGUGGCACAUGCCUGUAAUCCCAAUUACUCGGGAGGCUGAGGCAGAAGAAUUGCUUGAACCUGGGAGGUGGAGGUUUCAGUGAGCCAAGAUCGCACCACUGCCCUCCAGCCUGGGCAAUAGAGCAAGACUCCAUCUCACAAAAUAAAAAGCCAAAAAAAGCUCUCGACAGUUCUGUUCCCCGCCUGAGGUGUUUGUCUCAGGAUCCCGGCCUGGCUGUGGGCCACAGAUGGCAAAAACCAAGGUCCGUCUAUUACUGGGCAUCCAGGGUUUCAUAAUCUCUACGACCUCCAUGCCUGGAACUCCACACAUUGCGCAUGCCCCAGAAACGCUUGCCCAACGGACCCCAAUCCACCAUUUCUGAAUGCAUUUUUCAUGACUUGCUGAAUGUGUCUUGUUAAUCCAAUUAGAUUGUAAACUCCGGGAGUGCAGGGACAACGUUGACCUUCCUAUUACUCCCCUCACCCCCGCCCAGCUCUGGGCUGGGCACACAGUGACCCUCAAGGGUAGCACAAAGACUUGAGGCAAGAAAAACACCUGUAGAAGGAAAAGGCUGGAUACUGGGAGCGCCUCUGUCUGCUUUGCUGCCAUCCUCUUCUUCAACAACAAAGGACACGCUAAUUCUAUGCAGCAAAAGUUUCCAAACACGUUAGCCUAAGAAUUUCGAGUCAUGCAAAAAAUAAAUUCCCAGAGUCACAGGGUUAAAAAAAAUCAGAUUCCAGGGCCCCAUCCUUGUUGUUCCUGAGUCAGACUCCCCAGUCAAACUGCCAGAGAACCUCGUCUUUGAACAAACACUUCAGGCAACUUUCCCAGGAUAAAGCAAGUUUCAGAAACUCUCACACAGCUUCUUAGGUAUCUCAGAUAUGGCUCUUGCCCUCCAGAUGUUUACAAAUGAAAACAAGAAAUCUGGUUCCAACAAGCAAAAGCCCAGAGAGACCUCAAACACAAAGAUGCAAAUCAAAAUUAGUAGAGAAAUAAAUGAGCCGGGACGUUGUACUUCGGUCGCGGGGCUGGCUGAGGUCACUACCUGCACAGCCGACUGUUGGAAGUUCUGCGGUAUACCAGCUGAAUGGCCUUGAACAAGUCCCAUCUCCACUCGGAGCCUCCGUUUCCGCAUCUGUAGAAUGGGGAUAUGUGGGCCUAACUCACAGCGUUGUGAGAAUUCAACAAGAACACAUCAAGCAGCUGUGAAUGUAGCAAGCCGGCAUUUGAUUAAAUGUUAGUUUUCGUCCUAAGAAAAAUAGCUAAUAUUUCUGAGCACUUACGGCCGAGCCCUGAGCUAACAUUUACUUCCUCCUUUAACUCCCACAACAACCCAAUGAGGUAGGAUCUAUUAUUAUCCCCAUUUCACAGAUGCGGAAAUUAAGACACAGAAAGGUUAAAAAAAAAACACGCACAGGCCAGGCGUGGUGGAUCACCCCCUGUAAUCUCAGCACUUUGGGAGGUGGAGCCUGGAGGAUCGCUUGAGGCCAGGAGUUUGAGACUAGCCUGGGCAACAUAGCAAGACCCUGUCUCUAUAAAAAAAAAUUUAAAGCUGAGUGCAGUGGCUCACGCCUGUAACCCCAACACUUUGAGAGGCUGAGGCAGGUGAACUCUUGAGCCCAGGAAUUCAAGACCAAACUGGGCAGCAUAGUGAGACCCUGUCUCUUAAAAAAAAAAAAAUCAGCUGGGCGUGGUGGUGCAUGCCUGUGAUCCCAACUACUCGGGAGGCUGAGGUGGGAGGAUCGCUUGAGCCCAGGAGUUUGAGGUCUCAGUGAGCUAUGAUUGUGCCAUUGCGCUCCAGCCUGCACAACAGAGAAAGGUCUGUCUUAAAAAAAAAAAAAAAAAGAAAAGAAAGAAAAGAAAAAAGAACCCAACGUCUCCCAACCAGGAAAUGGCAGAGCUGGGAUUAGAGCCUAGAAAACCUAUCCUGUAGCCCCAGGAGGAAAUAGCCUCACGGGAGCAAAACCACCAGGUGUUUAGGACUCAUGAAAAUUAUACAUUGGCUUCUUUGGGAAAAGUGGCCCAUUCAGCUGAGCAGGACCCAAAAUAGCAAAAGGGCCAAGGACAGCCCGCCUGCCCUAGGUGUGGCCCCAGCCAGGAUUCCUAGCCCUGCGAGUUUUCCCAGAUUGGCCAACACACGUCUGAACCCCUGGGAUCAGGAAGUGCCAAUGCCUGGGUCUUGCUAAAGCCAUUUACCGUCGACAGAUAUCCCACCGAUGGCCAAGUGCCAGUUAGUCACGGCCUCAGUGCAGCACCUCAUCCCUCCCAGAAAGCCAUGGCUCUGGACUCCACCCACUGAAAACAGGGCUUUUGUGGGAAUACAAUGGGACAAGAAGAAAAACAUGCUGAACCUGAUCUCCAUGGGACCUGAUGUGGAGUCACGUUCAUUCACAUCACUGGCUUGCAGCCUCUCCACUCACAAGUUAUUGAUAAUCGAAAAAAUAAAACACCAUGCGAUCGUAUUUCUGGGCAGAUAGAAUGCAAGAGCCUGGGGCACUGGUUGUUUCUGGGGAGGGGAAGGGAACCGAGAGACCCAAGAAGAGGGUGGACAAGCUAGGCACGGUGGCUCACCCCUGUAAUCCCAGCAUUUUGGGAGGCCAAGGCAGGCAGACACUUGAGGUCAGGAGUUCGAGAUCACCCUGGCCAACAUGGUGAAACCCUGUCUCUACUAAAAACAUAAAAAUUAGCCAGGCGUGGUGGCAGGUGCCUAUAAUCGCAGCCACUCAGGAGUCUGAGGCAGGGGAAUCACUUGAACCUGGAGGCAGAGAUUGCAGUAACCGGAGAUCGUGCCAUUGCAUUCCAUCCUGGGCGACAGAGCGAAACUCCGUCUCAAAGAAAAAAAUAAAAGGACUAUGAGUGGGAGCAGAUGUAGGGAGAUGCAAGGGACGGAGUAUCAGGAGAACAGUACCUGUUCUGGGCUCUCCGCUAAUCAAACCCAACCACCAGGCAGAGGCAUGGGAGACCCCCACACACAGAGCAGGGUGGAGACAGGAGAAGCGAUCGCAGAAGAGGCCAGACCACCACCCAAUAGAUGUGGGUAACUAUUCAAAACUCAGAUCAUCUGAACAGAAAAAGGUAAAUGCUAUGAGCUAAAAACUUCAAGGUUCUUUGCAUCAGUGCCCUUUUUUUUUUUUCCUGAAGUUAUUUCAAGUUGGAUUUCUACCACUUGCAAACCAAAGAGUCUUGCCGAACAGAGACGGAAACAUGGAAGAUUUCAUUGAAGUGGAAACCUGGCAUUGUAAUUGCCCACUGCUUGUAAAAUUCAGGCCAGUGUGGUGGCUCACGCCUGUAAUCCCAACACUUCGGGAGGCUGAGGUGGGCAGAUCGCCUGAGCCCAGAAGUUCAAGACCAGCCUGGGCAACAUGGCAAGACCCUGUCUCUAUAAAAAAUUUUGGUUUAAAGCUAAGUGCAGUGGCUCACACCUGUAAUGCCAACUCUUUGGGAGGCUGAAGCAGGUUAAUUGCUUGAGCCCAGGAGGUCGAGACCAAACUGGGCAACAUAGUGAGACCCCAUCUCUAAAAAAAGAGAAGAAAAGAAAAUCAGCAGGGAGUGUUGGCACAUGCCAGUGGUCCCAGCUAUUCAGGAGGCCGAGGUGGAAGAAUCACCUGAACCCAGGAAGGUCAAGGCUGCAGCAAGCUGUGAUAGUGCCACUGCACUCCAGCCUGGACAACAGAGCAAGACCCUGUCUCAAAAUAAGUACAUAGGCUGGGCGAGGUGGCUCAUGCCUGUAAUCCUAGCACUUUGGGAGGUCGAGGCGGGCAGAUCAUUUGGGGUAAGGAGUUCGAGACCAGUUUGGCCAACACGGUGAAACCCCGUCUCUACUAAAAAUACAAAAAAAAUUAGCUGGGUGUGGUGGCACAUGCCUGUAAUCCCAGCUACUUGGGGAGGCUGAGGCAGAAGAAUUACUUGAACCUGGGAGACAGAGAUCGCGUCACUGCACUCCAGCCUGGUUGACAGUGCGAGACUCUCAAAAAAAAUUGGCCAGGCAUAGUGGCUCACGCCUGUAAUCCUAGCACUUUGGGAGGCCGAGGUGGGUGGAUCACCUGAGGUCAGGAGUUCGAGACCAGCCUGGCCAACGUGGCGAAACCCCGUCUCUACUAAAAAAUACAAAAAUUAGCUGGGCAUGGUGGCACAUGCCUGUAAUCCCAGCUACUUGCGAGGCUGAGGCUGGAGAAUCACUUGAACCUGGGAGGCAGAGGUUGCAGUGAGCUGAGAUCGCGCCACUGCACUACAGCCUGGGUGACAGAGUGAGACUCUGUCUCAAAAAAAAAAAAAAUCAAUUAAUUUAGCUUAAUUCAGCUGCUUCACCUUGGCCUACAAGGGGCUGGGCCACCCUGUCCAAUCCAUGAUCACCUUUUUCCACUGUCCACCUGCAGUGCACAGCAAGUCGCCUACAGCUCCUCCCAUACCCACAGCCCCUUCCUGCCUGGGACCUUCGCCCAUGCUGUUCCUCCUGCCUGAACCCCUCUCCUAGCUCUUCCUCCCAUCAGCACCUCAUUGUCAUCCCUUCCCUAUCCUGUGGUCUGAAUGUUUGUGUCCUCCCAAAGUUCAUAUGUGGAAUCCUAGCCCCCCAGGUGGUGGUAUUAAGAGGUGGGGACUUUGGGGGCAGGAUUAGUUCCCUUAUCAAAGAGGCCCAAGGGAGCUUGUUUGUCCCUUGCACCAGGUGAGGGCCCCGCAAGAAGGUGCCCUUGCUGGAGAUCCCAGACUCUAUGAGAAAUAUUGUUUAUAAGUAACCCAGUUUAUGUUUUUUUGGUUUUUUGGUUUUUUUUUUUCAAGGUGGAGUCUCGCUCUGUGGCCCAGGCAAUCUCGGCUCACUACAACCUCCGCCUCCCAGGUUCAGGCGAUUCUCCUUCCUCAGCCUUCUGAGUAGCUGGAAUUACAGGCACCCGCCACCAUACCCAUCUAAUUUUUGUAUUUUUAGUAGAGACGAGGUUUCACCAUGUUGGCCAGGCUGGUCUCGAACUCCUGGCCUCAAGCAAUCCUCCCGCCUCGGCCUCCCAAAGUGUUGGGAUUACAAGCAUGAGUCACCAUGCCUGGCCUAUGGUAUUUUUUUAUAGCAGCAGGAACAGACUAAGACAUCCUACUUCUCAGCUUAAACGUCACCUCUGCACAGAGCCCUUCGUGAUACAUCUGAACAGAUUCUUUUCUGUGACUCUCCAUCCCUGCACUGUAUUUGCUCUUUCAGGGUGCUUUUUCACAUUUGUGAGGGUGUAUGCAUCUCCUCUUCCAGGCUGUAAGCUUCAUAAAGUCUCUGUUUUGUUCAUAACUAGAACAAGCCCUAGCACCUAGCAGUGAGUGUUCAUUAAACAUAUGAAGAAUGAAUCAGCGAGUGAUUUCAUGUCUCAUCAUCUCUAAAAAGCCUGUUUGAUCACUUCCAGGACCAGGAAACUCCUGACAUUAUCAAGGAUGCCACUGCAAAGUGAAAUGUCAUAAACAUGUAGGAGUUGAUUCUUUCCAGAAGCUGGCAGUCCAGGACUAGUGUGGGGGCUCCACAGUGUCACCAGAGCUUUGACCUUCCUGCCCUACCAUCUUCAGUGGGUGGCUUCUGUACUCAGGGUUACCUCAUGGUCCAAGAUGGCUGCUGGACUCUAGCCAUUAUAUCCAAAUACCAGGUAGAAUAGAGGACAAAAGCAGUGAACCUCAAGGCUGAGGCUCCUGGAAGCCUCAUACACUUUUACCUACUACAGUCCAUGGAACAUAGUGUAGUCACGGGGCCACACCAAAAUGCAAGAGAGACUGGGAAAUGUCUUCAUUCCAGGCAGCACGAUCUGAAUCUGUUAUUAAGGAAAAAAAUAGGAAGAAUGGAUAUUGGGUAUGUAACUAGCUACAAAUGAUCAUGGCAUCUCCGUUUAUUGAGCACUUAUUAUGUGCUAGACACAGUCCUAAGUACUUAAUAAAUGUGGCCCGGUCAAACAAGAUUGCCCUCUGCCCCCAAGAUUGCCCUCUGCCCCUUCUGUAGCCAGGGACACACACACACACGCACGCACGCAUGUACAGGAGCCAGUUGGGCCUGGCCCCCUUCACUGCGGGUACUGACAUGCGAAGUCUUUGUCAUAUGACUCUGAGCAGGGAGGGAGCAGUGUCCUCUUAGCAUAAUAAGAUCAGGAUUCAUAACAUUAAAUCAAAGUGCUGUAACUCACAGGAAUAUCAGUUUCCUAUUCAGAAGAUAGAGGAGAAUGUUUUCAGAAGGAAAUUGAACUUUAUGGUUUGAAACACGUUUAAUUUUAAAUAUGUUGAGAGAAAACCAGCUACAGCCUGGCAUGGAAACUCCUGUUGUUCCAGCCAAUGCCUUGGAGAACCAGAGACCACGCCCCCUUCCUCCCUGCUGAGGAGUCAACGAACGAGACCAAAGUCCCCUGUUCUUCUCUGCAGUCAGCAGAAAUCAGAGAAGAACAUCUUUAGACAGUCAGCAGACUCAGGAACUGUGUACUCUAGGACUUUUUAAAAAUUUUUUUACUUUUAUUUUUUUGAGACGGAGUCUCGCUCUGUCGCCCUGGCUGGAGUGCAGUGGCGUGAUCUCAGCUCACUGCAACGUCCACCUCCCAGGUUCAAGCUAUUCUCCUGCCUCAGCCUCCCGAGUAGUUAGGAUUACAGGCGCCUGCCACCACACCCGGCUAAUUUUUGUAUUUUUAAUAAAGACAAGGUUUUGCCAUGUUGGCUAAGCUGUUCUCCAACUCCUGACCUCAGGUGAUCCACCUGUCCCAGCCUCCCAAAGUGCUGGGAUUACAGGCAUGAGCCACCGCACCCAGCCUGGGACUUUUUUAUUUUUACAGAGAUGGGUGAUGAUUCAUGGGACGUUGGAGAUGCCCCAAGACUGGAGAUAUGAUUUGGGGGAUCCUGAGGAUUGGUGACCUAGGCAAAACUUGGGGAGGCUGGAUCCUGGGUAUGGAGUAGCCAAUCUGAAUAAAGACCCCUGCGCCAAAGGUUGGCACAGAAAUAGUGGUCUUGCCAGCCUUCAGGGGAGGCCCACACCAGUCCUAGACUGCCUGCUUCUGGAAGGAAUCAACUCUUACAUGUUUAUGCCAUUUCACUUUGGGUUUUCUGUUCUAUACAGCUAAACCUAAUACUGGACUGAUACAUUAUUAUUAUUUUCAGAACCAACCAAAGCUGGAAUAACACUCUUGAUAAUGCCAGUUUCCUGGUCCUAGAAGUGAGCUAACAGGCUUUUCAGAGAUGACGAGAUGUGAAAUCCCUCACUGAUUCAUGCUUCAUGUGUUUAAUGAGCACCCACUAGGUGCUAAGCCUUGUUCUAGUCAGGAAUAAAACCGAUACUUCACGAGGUUUACAGCCUGGUGGAGGAGACGUGUAUCAGGCUAGUGCGUGUAGACCAAAGGCCAGAGGCGCCCACUCAAGCAUUUCCACCUACAUGAGAAUCCCAUAGUCUUUUUAGAAGAAUAGAAAUAGUAAGCCCUGAGUCACGACUGCAUUUGAAUGCCACCUUACCUGAAGUCUGAAUCAGGGAUAAUUUGAUUUCAGAAGAAUAAAAUGAGGCUCCUAACACCUGUCCCAAAUUGCAAGGAAAUGAGGGUAUUCUCUUUUUUUUUUUUUUUUCUGAGAUGGAGUCUCGCUCUAUCGCCCAGGCUGGAGUGCAGUGGCGCGAUCUCGGCUCACUGCAAGCUCCACCUCCCGGGUUCACGCCAUUCUCCUGCCUCAGCCUCCUGAGUAGCUGGGACUACAGGCGCCCGCCACCACGCCCAGCUAAUUUUUUGCAUUUUUAGUAGAGACGGGGUUUCACCGUGUUAGCCAGGAUGGUCUCGAUCUCCUGACCUCGUGAUCCGCCCGCCUCGGCCUCCCAAAGUGCUGGGAUUACAGGCGUGAGCCACCGCGCCCAGUUGAAAUGAGGGUAUUCUCUAAGAGGCAGAUGACAGAACCUACUGCAAUGAAUUUGUCAAGCUCAAGGCUAAGGACACAGUCCCUCCACAAGGCAGCCUUCACUUCAAAUGCCAGGUGCAACUGGGGAUUCCUGGGCCACCCUCACUUCUGACCGCUUGGCUGCAUUGAGGGUUCCCACUACCCCCUGUGGUUCAAUAAUUCACUAGAAUGACUCAUGGAACUCAGGAAAGUGCCCCGCCUCAUAACGACAGUUUUUAUGAUAGCAAACAGACACAGAUCAGAACCAGCCACAAGAAAGGACAUAGAGGGUGAGGUGCGGAAGGGGUUCAAGUGCAAAGCUCCUAGUUACCUUCUCUCCAGACAGUCACCUCCCCCCAGCUAUGAUGCGUGAUGACACUCAGAGAAUACUGCUAACCAGAGAAGCUCCUGAGGCUUUGGUGUCCAGCGUUUUUGGGGGUUUUGUUUUUGUUGUUGUUGUUUCUGAGAUGGAGUCUCGCUCUCGUCGCCCAGGCUGGAGUGCUGUUGCGUGAUCUCAGUUCACUGCAACCUCCACCUCCUGGGUUCAAGCGAUUCUCCCGCCUCAGCCUCCAGAGUACGAGUAGCUGGGAUUACAGGCAUGCACCAUGCCCAGCUGAUUUUGUAUUUUUAGUAGAGACAGGGUUUCACCAUGUUGGCCAGGCUGAUCUCAAACUCCUGACAUCUGGUGACCCGCCCCCCUCAGCCUCCUGAAGUGCUGGGAUUACAGGCAUGAGCCACUGCCAGCCAGUGUCCAGCGUUUUUUAGUGGGGCUUGAUCCCUUACUGCCAGUGUGGCUGACCUUUCAUCUCCAGUCUCUCCUGAGCUAACUCUUGUGUAUCCAGCUCAUCUGGAGGUUGGAACUGAUACAGGAUGUUCCAAAGCCUUCAUUACAGAUCACAUUGUUAGACUAUCUGGUGGCCAAAGGCCCCAGGCAAACACAGACACUUCCAUCAGACAGGACGUUAAGGGGCCUAGAGAUCACCUCCCAGCAACUGAAGGCAAAGAUAAUCCUCCUACUGUACAUCCUUUUUUUUUCUUUUUUUUUUUUUAAGAGACAGGGUUUCAUUCUGUCGCCCAGGCUGGAGUACAGUGACACACUCAUGGCUUGCUGCAGCCUCGACCUCCUGGGCUCAAGCAAUCCUCCUGUAGCUGGGACUACAGGUGUGCACCACCACACCCCGCCAACUAUACAUCCACCACCACCCUGUCCUCUCAGCCCCCAAAGUCAUGAGGCUUUGACUAGGUAUCAGGAUGUCUUCAAAUGAAAAUUAAUGAAAACAGCGGGCCCGGUGGCUCACACCUGUAAGCCCAGCACUUUGGGAGGCCGAGACAGGUGGAUCACCUGAGAUCGGGAGUUCAAGAACAGCCUGAUCAACAUGGAGAAACCCUGUCUCUGCUAAAAAUACAAAAAAAGUAGCUGGGCAUGAUGGCACAUGCCUGUAAUCCCAGCUACUUGGGAGGCUGAGGCAGGAGAAUUGCUUGAACCCGGGAGGUGGAGGUUGUGGUGAGCCGAGAUCAUGCCAUUGUACUCCAGCCUGGGCAACAAGAGUGAAACUUCGUCAAAAAAAAAAAAAAGAAAAAAAGAAAAGAAAAUUAAUAAAAACAAAAAUCCAAAGUUGGACACACACACAGAGAACACCUUAGGACAAUAGAGGUACACCGUGGAGUGCUGCAGCAGCAAGCCAAAGAUUGCCAAGGAUUACCAGAGACGUGAGACGUUGGAAAGGGCAAGAGUGGAAUCUCCCCUCUCCCCCAAGUUUGAGAGGGGGCCAAGCCUUACCGACACCUUAAUUUGAGGCCUCUAGUCUCUAGAAAUGCAAUGUGCAAGGCGGGGCGCGGUGGCUCACGCCUGUAAUCCCAGCACUUUGGGAGGCUGAGGCGGGCCUUAAGGUCAGGAGUUCAAGACCAGCCUGGCCAACAUGGUGAAACCCUGCCUCAAAAUGCAAAAAGUAGCCAGGCGUGGUGGCAUGUGCCUGUAAUCCUAGCUACUCAGGAGGCUGAGGCAGGAGAAUCACUUGAACCCAGGAGGCAGAGGUUGCAGUGAGCCGAGAUCACACCAGUGCACUCCAGCCUGGGCAACAGCGUGAGACUCCAUCUCAAAAAAAAAAAAAAGGGCCGGGUGCAGUGCUCACGCCUGUAAUCCCAGCACGUUGGGAGGCUGAGGUGGGAGGAUCACCUGAGGCCAGGAGUUCAAGACCAGCCUGGCCAAUAUGGUGAAACUCUGUCUCUACUAAAAAUUCCAAAAAAAUUUAGCAGGGUGUGGUGGCGCAUGCCUGUAAUCCCAGCUACUCGGGAGACUGAGACAGGAGAAUUGCUUGAACCCGGGAGGUGGAGGUUGCAAUGAGCUGAGAUGGCGCCACUGCACUCCAGCCUGGGAGACAGAGUGAGACUCCGUCUCAAAACAAAACAAAACAAAAAUGCGACGUGCAGUGAUGUGCUCCAGCUGGUGUGAUCCCCUUGGGGAUGUGGCAAUGGAUGGGCAUCCCCAGACUUGAUGAUCAUCCCUUUGUCUCUUACCAGCAAUCCCCAAACCAAUUCACAAGUUCUGUUUUGUUUUGGUUUGGUUUUUUGUUUGUUUUUUGAGACAGAGUCUCACUCUGUCGCCCGGGCAGGAGUGCAGUGACAUGAUCAUAUCUCACUGCAGCCUCAAACUCCCAGGCUCAAGUGAUCCUCCCACCUCAGCCUCCCUAGUAGCUGGGACUACAGGUGUGCACCACCAUGCCUGGCUAACUUUUUUCAUUUUUUGUAGAGAUGGGGGUCUCCCUAUGUUGCCCAGGCUGGUUUCGAACUCCUGGGCUCAAGUGAUCCUCCCAUCUCAGCCUCCCAAAGUGCUGGCAUUACAGGCGUGAG